rnacentral:rRNA from 1 species
UCCAACUUGAGAGUUUGAUCCUGGCUCAGAGCGAACGCUGGCGGCAGGCCUAACACAUGCAAGUCGAGCGCCGUAGCAA